rnacentral:rRNA from 1 species
UACGUAGGUGGCGAGCGUUAUCCGGAAUUACUGGGUGUAAAGGGUGUGUAGGCGGGCGGACAAGUCAGAUGUGAAAACUAUGGGCUCAACCCAUAGCCUGCAUUUGAAACUGUCUGUCUUGAGAGUGGGAGAGGUAAACGGAAUUCCCGGUGUAGCAGUGAAAUGCGUAGAUAUCGGGAGGAACACCGGUGGCGAAGGCGGUUUACUGGACCACAACUGACGCUGAGACACGAAAGCGUGGGGAGCAAAC